GAUGAACGCUGGCGGCGUGCCUAAUACAUGCAAGUCGAGCGAACAGACGAGGAGCUUGCUCCUCUGACGUUAGCGGCGGACGGGUGAGUAACACGUGGAUAACCUACCUAUAGGACUGGGAUAACUUCGGGAAACCGGAGCUAAUACCGGAUAAUAUAUUGAACCGCAUGGUUCAAUAGUGAAAGACGGUUUUGCUGUCACUUAUAGAUGGAUCCGCGCCGCAUUAGCUAGUUGGUAAGGUAACGGCUUACCAAGGCAACGAUGCGUAGCCGACCUGAGAGGGUGAUCGGCCACACUGGAACUGAGACACGGUCCAGACUCCUACGGGAGGCAGCAGUAGGGAAUCUUCCGCAAAGGGCGAAAGCCUGACGGAGCAACGCCGCGUGAGUGAUGAAGGUCUUCGGAUCGUAAAACUCUGUUAUUAGGGAAGAACAAAUGUGUAAGUAACUAUGCACGUCUUGACGGUACCUAAUCAGAAAGCCACGGCUAACUACGUG
rnacentral:rRNA from 1 species